AGUGAACGCUGGCGGUAGGCCUAACACAUGCAAGUCGAACGGCAGCACAGUAAGAGCUUGCUCUUACGGGUGGCGAGUGGCGGACGGGUGAGGAAUACAUCGGAAUCUACUUUUUCGUGGGGGUUAACGUAGGGAAACUUACGCUAAUACCGCAUACGACCUACGGGUGAAAGCAGGGGAUCUUCGGACCUUGCGCGAUUGAAUGAGCCGAUGUCGGAUUAGCUAGUUGGCGGGGUAAAGGCCCACCAAGGCGACGAUCCGUAGCUGGUCUGAGAGGAUGAUCAGCCACACUGGAAGUGAGACACGGUCCAGACGCCUACGGGAGGCAGCAGGGGGGAAUAGUGGACAAUGGGCGGAAACCUGAUCCAGCCAGACCGAGUGGGUGAAGAAGGCCGUCGGGUUGUAAAGCCCGUUUGUUGGGAAAGAAAAGCAGCAGGUUAAUACCCCACUGUUCUGACGGUAACCAAAGAAUAAGCACCGGCUAACUUCGUG
rnacentral:rRNA from 1 species